UACCGUAAUCAAGCCCUUCCCCGCAGGCUUGUCAUUCAUCAGCAGCAGAGGCCGAGUUAUCUUCUUGCUGGAGACGAUCUGGAGGCUGAGCAGAGCAGUCAUCACAGUUCCCAAGUAAAACGGGAGGCUCAGAAGGCCGUGGGACUUGCCCUAGAGCCCAGAACUGUUAAUAGUGAUCGGAACUUGCGUCAGGAAGUCUUAGACCUGCAACUUCCAUGAGCACACCAGAGAGUGAGCCGGAGGGGGAAGUGUAACCCAGAGAAGGAAAGAAAGUUGCCCAAGGUCACACGGGAAUCCCCAGCUCCCGCUCCAAGUACUUCCAAGGGCCUGACCCCAGGGAGGCAGGGGGAGCGCUCCCCAGCGACUGCGUCGCCCACCACCCUGGGCAGCCGCACACC